GUGUCUCCUUGAGUUCCCUUAAACGCUUCAUUGUUUUCUAAGAUCUAUCGAACAAUAGAUCAAUCUGAUGAACACUGAAGUGUUUGGGGGGACUCUAGGUGUCAU
rnacentral:pre_miRNA from 1 species